GACGAACGCUGGCGGCGUGCUUAACACAUGCAAGUCGAACGGAAAGGCCCUGCACUUGUAGGGAGCGCGAGUGGCGAAAAGGUGAGUAUAACGUGAGUGACCUCCCCUUGACUUUGGGAUAACUUCAGGGGACUGGAGCUCAUAUCCGAUAUGAACUCCUGCUACAUGGGGGGGGUUGUAAAGUUUCGGCGGUUGGGGACGGACUCGCGGCGUCUCAGCUUGUUGGUGGGGUAGUGGCUUACCAAGGCUUUGACGGGUAGACGGCCUGCGAGGGUGACCGGCCACAUUGGGACUGGGAUACGGCCAGUACGGCAACGGGAGGAAGCAGUGGAGAACAGUGCACGAAGGGCGGAAGCCGUGUGCAGGAACGCCGCGUGCUGGAUGUCUGCCUGCAGGGUGUAACCCGGGUGCGCCUGGGACGAAGAGUGAGUGACGGUAAUUGGUAAAGAAGCACCGGCUAACUACGUG
rnacentral:rRNA from 1 species